rnacentral:rRNA from 1 species
UACAGAGGGGGCAAGCGUUGUUCGGAAUUACUGGGCGUAAAGGGCGCGUAGGCGGCCUUCUAAGUCGAACGUGAAAUCCCCGGGCUCAACCCGGGAACUGCGUCCGAUACUGGAAGGCUUGAAUCCGGGAGAGGGAUGCGGAAUUCCAGGUGUAGCGGUGAAAUGCGUAGAUAUCUGGAGGAACACCGGUGGCGAAGGCGGCGAUCCUGGACCGGCAUUGACG